CCCGGAUCUUUCUAUCCUUGGCGAACGGCCAAAGCCAUCAACAAGCUAGGAACAAUCGAAAGAGGGGUGUUGCGGGCAGUUCGCGGCGGCGGUGAGAGAGGGCUAGGCUUUUUCUCGAAAAGGAGGGUGGGUGGGUCUGGAAGGCCAAAUGGCCCACACAGAAACCGGGAGAGGGGGGCCAUGAGGGCAACCUUUGCGGUACCGGCACCGGCGAUCCCAUAGCGACAUUUUCCCCGCAGACCCUCACGGCACAGGUGCUCAGGGGACUCUUCGCAGGGAGGGGGGGGUCGCACUCACAGUGCAACUUCUGAAAGGUUGCCGGCCCCGUUCGACCCGCGCAAUGCAGCUCGCAAGGGGGGGUGAGGGCAGGAAAGGUUUGGGGUAAGCCAAGCAGACCGCGUGCCGCGUUUUCUGCGGCGAAGCCCGCGUCAUGCCGUUAUUGGUACCCUCACAACUGGUAUUGCGGUUUGGGGAACGCGCGGAAUGUGGCUGCGCACGGCUGGUGGUCGGAAAAACAUGCCGGGCUCGUCGUGGCGCUUGGUGCGGGCUCGGGUGCGACCACGGCCGCUGGCGCAGUUGGGCAGUGGUUCGGGGGUGCGGGCGGGUUUUGCCCCCCGAUGCGUUUUUAAAGCAUCACCACUUUGGUGAAAAUAGGGAUAUUUCGGGCAUCUGUGGCGUCCGGCGUGGCCGCAAAAAUGUGUAGUUUCAAAAGGGACGCCUCCGGGAAUUUUGGUUGUAGGCUUCAGGGGCCGUCCUUGGGGUGUGGGUUGGCUGGG
rnacentral:misc_RNA from 1 species